rnacentral:lncRNA from 1 species
GCGCCCGGGCAGGAAGCGGCUCUGCGCGGCCUCUCCCGCCGGCGCGGCGCGGGGCGGGGUUCGGCCCGGGGCCUCCGGCCGCAGGAAACGGAGGCGGCGGUGGGUACCCGCGGCCCCGCGCAGUGCCGCGCCUCCUCCGCCCUGCCCGCGGCCAGAGAGCGGCUGCCGGCGCACCCCGCCCCGGGACCGCGGCGGCGCCACGCGGUGAUUGGGGCGGCCUCCUGUGGGGAAUGGCGGCUUCCGGCCUCGCUCCGCUCGCAGGUCACGUAACGGCGGUGGUGCGGGCGGUAACGCGCCCCCGGAGCCGCGCCAGGCCUCGGCCGCGGAGACCUUCUCUGGUGGGAAGGAGACGCGGCCCGGCCUCCUGCCCUGCUCCUCAUGGCUGUGCGGCCCUGCAGGACCCGCCACCGUGUGCCUCGGGCGUGGAACGAGCAGGGCGCAGGCCCGUGAGUCCCUUUGUUCCCGGCUCCAGGACUGGGUGAGGAGCGACACUGGACACGCUGAAGGAUUAUGAUAAUCCUGUUCUUCCUUCAGUGUCCCGUACCAUGGCAGGUGAUGACCACUGAGCCAUGUUCUGCUGAGCCGGCUGCUCCACACUCACCCUUCAGGCCUGCGUUCUCCAGCAGAUUCAUCAAGCUGAUACCUACUCGAAGAGUGCGGCACUUGGUUUUGGGCAAAUAAAGGUAAAACAUGUUCCAGUGGGUGGAAGUUGGACCCUGAAUCAAGGCAUACAUUUUUAAGCAAGGAGUGAAGCUUUUUCACCACUGCAGUCCCUGGCAGAGGAGCUGUGCGCUUCAUCUGCUGUUCUCUGAUACAGUCUUGCCACUGUCAGCAGGGCUCACAGGGCCACCUCCUGCCCUCUGCGCUGGUGGUUGUUGCUGGCGGAGUCACCCGUUUCUGGUGGACACUAGCUGUUGUGACUGAAAGCCAGUGCAGCUGCAGGCUGUGGCCUUAGAGGGGGUCUGGCACACUGACCAGGACAACCCUGUGUGCCCUGGAAAUCUCUGAAUUCUGGUAGACUAAGAAAUGACCCUGUACUUGCCUAGCUCAGGAUCACCAGACCGGUCUUCUUUUGAGGCUUGUGAAACACAUACCCCAGAGAAGGCAGUAAUGAUCACCAUGUAAUGCAUGUUCAGCUCCUGGUUUUAUGGUUUCUGCAAAGCCUGUUUUGGGGACAUGUUUUUAAGCUAUUUGGGGAAGAACAGAUGAGCUUUUGGCACACAGUUCUACAUCAAAUCUCAGUUGCCAGGCUGAGUUUAUUGGUAGAGACCUUGUAUAUUGCACAGGCUGCUGCCUGUGCCCGACCAUCCUCUAGAAUGGAAACUUGAACCAAUGAUUUUCAUAAUGAAUGUGCAAUAAAUCUGUGAAAAA